rnacentral:rRNA from 1 species
UGAAUACGAGAUGCUACGGCGUCGAAGCAGUGUAUGUCAGACUUCCAAGAAAAGCUCGCAAUGUCAUAAAUAAAGAAUGCCUGUACCAUAACCGACACAGGUGGGUAGGUAGAGUAUACUAAGGGGCGCGAGAUAACUCUCUCUAAGGAACUCGGCAAAAUAACUCCGUAACUUCGGGAGAAGGAGUGCCUUCUUUAAGAAGGUUGCAAUAACAAGAUCCAAGCAACUGUUUAUCAAAAACACAGGUCUCCGCUAAGUCGUAAGACGAUGUAUGGGGGCUGACGCCUGCCCAGUGCCAGAAGGUUAAAGAAGUUGGUUAGCUUUUGCGAAGCUGAUGACUGAAGCCCUGGUGAACGGCGGCCGUAACGAUAACGGUCCUAAGGUAGCGAAAUUCCUUGUCGGGUAAGUUCCGACCCGCACGAAAGGCGUAAUGAUUUGGAUACUGUCUCGGAGAGGGACUCGGUGAAAUAGACUUGUCUGUGAAGAUGCGGACUACCUGCACCAGGACAGAAAGACCCUAUGAAGCUUUACUGUAACUUGAAAUUGAAAUUGGACUUUAUUUGCGCAGUAUAGGUGGAAGGCGUUGAAAGUAAUCUUGCGGGAUUAGUGGAGCCAUCAGUGAGAUACCACUCCUAUAAUGUUAGAUUUCUAACUUUGGAUCAUGAUCUGGUCAAAGAACAGUUUCAGGCGGGCAGUUUGACUGGGGCGGUCGCCUCCCAAAUGGUAACGGAGGCGUACAAAGGUUUCCUCUGAACGGGUAGAAAUCGUAUCUAGAGUGUAAAGGCAUAAGGAAGCUUGACUGUGAGACCUACAAGUCGAGCAGGGACGAAAGUCGGUCUUAGUGAUCUGACGGUGCUGAGUGGAAAGGCCGUCACUCAACGGAUAAAAGUUACUCUAAGGAUAACAGGCUGAUCUCCCCCAAGAGUUCACAUCGACGGGGAGGUUUGGCACCUCGAUGUCGGCUCAUCGCAUCCUGGGGCGGUAGUACGUCCCAAGGGUUGGGCUGUUCGCCCAUGAAAGCGGUACGCGAGCUGGGUUCAGAACGUCGUGAGACAGUUCGGUCCAUAUCCGGUGUAGGCGUUAGAAUAUUGAGAGGAGCCUUCUUUAGUACGAGAGGACCGAGAAGGACAUACCUCUGGUGUACCAGUUAUCGUGCCAACGGUAAACGCUGGGUAGCUAUGUAUGGAGAGGAUAACCGCUGAAAGCAUCUAAGUGGGAAGCCCACCUCAAGAUGAGUAUUCCC